CAAUAGCGUAUACUAAAGUUGUUGCAGUUAAAAAGCUCGUAGUUGGAUUUCUGUCUGAGAUGAACGGUCGGAACGUAAGUUCUUUGCACUUGUUAAUCAUUUUGGACUUCCUUGGUAUUAAUCUAUAUGGUAUUUAUUUAUCGUGUAGGGGAGUAUCAUCAUUUACUUGUGAGCAAAAUAAGAGUGUUUCAAAGACAGGCUUAGGCCCGAAUACAUUAGCAUGGAAUAAUAAGAUAGGACUUUGGUCUAUUUUGUUUGGUUUACAUUCCAAAGUAAAUGAUUAAUAGGGAUAGUUGGGGGUAGUUCGUAUUCAAUUGUCAGAGGUGAAAUUACUUGGAUUUAAUUGAAGACGAACUACUGCGAAAGCAUUUACC
rnacentral:rRNA from 1 species